AAUGACGACACAAAUACAUAGAAAAUGACACACGGCAAAGACAAAUCUUGAACACCUCGAUCUCUUUUUGUGUACGGAUAAGUCACUACACGCAUCGCCAUAGGUACAGUUGUGCCUAUGCUUCGGCAGAGGGGAAAUAGUACGAAUGCCGUCUCCCUUCCCGGUGUUGCUCGAAGAUUAAUA